rnacentral:lncRNA from 1 species
AUGAUGAAGUUCUGGACAGCACACCCUGAACCCAAGGAUGGAAUUUCUGUGUGGCCAGCAAGGACUUAUCUUCGGAAGCUUCCAAGAAUUUCCAAGGGAAAAAGGUUGUAUUUUGGCAACGUUAGGGUCCACUUGAUUUUCCUUUACUUUCACAUAUUUGGCUUGAGGAUUAUCCAUCUUUGGUCCAAAGGAAGUAGAAUCAUGCAGCUACUGUUAAAAUUGCUCAGUCAGCUACUUCUGGAAGAAAAUCAGCAUGGUGGAUGUCUAGAAGCAAAUAUUGUACAAAAUGAACAGAGUGCUAGAAAUGACUUCACAAAGACACAUUCAAAUUCUGAUUCAGCCACUUCUAAGAACCUGAGCAAGUCACUUGAUGACUCUCAGACUUCAGUUUCCUCAUCUGUAAAAUGCAGAUAAUAAUAGUAUUAUGGGUAGUAGAGAAAGCGAAGGCAACCCCAUUUUGCCUGUAACUCCUCUAUUUUGCCCCUGACCAUGUUGGUGUUACAAUCCCCAUCCUGUCUUCUACCUUCCUUUCUGGGGAGUUGGCAAGAACAAUCUUCUCUUAUACAGUGGGAUUAUAAACCAGAGCUAACCUGAAGAAGAACCUUUCUAUUGCUAGCCCCCAGCAACUGUCCAAUCCCAAAAUGCCCCAUGCCCAAGUCAUCACCUGCCCAAAAGGAAACCUAUAGAAGCUUGAUCCUUUUGUUCUUUUGGAGGAGUCUCUGCCCAUGUCAGUGGCGCUCCCAUGCUGGUCAACUCAAUAAACCUUCCUUGGUUCCUCA